AGGAGAUGCCGGGUACUGAAUCAGUUUAGAGAGUGUCACGUAACCGUACCAGGAGAUAAGAAGGCACGUAUGUCACUUAACAUGUGAACUUCUUAUAAUAUCAUCUCCAUUAUAUAUGAAAGCCUAUUUUACAGAAUAAAAUCCAUAUUUAUUACAAGUAGAGGGACAGCUCUACAGUUGAAGAAUGAGGCCAGGCUAAUAGGAGGCAGAAAAGUGUGAGUACAUGUGCCAGGGGCAUCCCUUAUGUCGUUGUUUUUGUUAAUCUUGUUGCUGUACAGACGUCUGCGUCAUCUACGCCACUUCGGUGUUCCUGUUUGUGCACUAGAAAGACUCUGAUUCUGUUCUGUUCAGCUUGAGUCUCCGGAAAUUUCCAGUUAAGACAUCUCCUACAAGUAUCACAUCGAUUCCUUAGUGGAACAUUACGUACAAGUUCCCUGAUCUAUUAUCAUUCAGGUGACUGGAAAUACUUCCUCCACAGGCUCAAAGUUCUCAAAGCUUUCACAGUCUGAGGUGAAAUAACCUCUUACUGAAUUCUUUUCUCUCACUCUUGUUCCAGUUUUAAAGUAUUGCUGUUUGAUCAUCUCUGCAGGUA
rnacentral:lncRNA from 1 species